AUUGAACGCUGGCGGCAUGCCUUACACAUGCAAGUCGAACGGCAGCACGGGGGCAACCCUGGUGGCGAGUGGCGAACGGGUGAGUAAUACAUCGGAACGUGUCCUGUAGUGGGGGAUAGCCCGGCGAAAGCCGGAUUAAUACCGCAUACGCUCUACGGAGGAAAGGGGGGGAUCUUAGGACCUCCCGCUACAGGGGCGGCCGAUGGCAGAUUAGCUAGUUGGUGGGGUAAAGGCCUACCAAGGCGACGAUCUGUAGCUGGUCUGAGAGGACGACCAGCCACACUGGGACUGAGACACGGCCCAGACUCCUACGGGAGGCAGCAGUGGGGAAUUUUGGACAAUGGGCGAAAGCCUGAUCCAGCAAUGCCGCGUGUGUGAAGAAGGCCUUCGGGUUGUAAAGCACUUUUGUCCGGAAAGAAAACGCCGUGGUUAAUUCCCGUGGCGGGGACGUACCGGAAGAUAGCCCCG
rnacentral:rRNA from 1 species